rnacentral:sRNA from 1 species
UUGACAGCUCUGAGGACUGAAGUCCUCUGUUUAUCCAUGGAACACUUAGAGCCCAAUUAGCAGCAGUGCCUGCGUUCCUUCCUUUACAUGUUGAGAUUGUUGUGUUAGUGCCCUCUCCAGGGGUGGAAGUAAUUCAUUCACCAAGGCUUUGGUCUCCCUGUUGAGAAU